rnacentral:lncRNA from 1 species
UCCGUAUGAGUUUCUAUAUUAUAUGUUGGCUAUAGUAGGUUCAAUAUAGAAAUAGUUGCGUACCAAGAUGGAAUCUAUCAUCCUUGGUAGACAAGGAAGAUGGUCCUAUGUAAUUUAUGAGACUGAGUUCAGAAGAUCUUGAUCAAGAUAAAUGAAUAGUGGAAAGAAGUUUCCAUGUACUUCACAUCAGGAACUCAAGUAAAGUUUAUAUAUGACAGAUGUUGUGGUUUGAGUUAUCUAUAACCUCUACCUAGUCGGGAUCCUGAUAGAAGGAAUGUAUC